GAUGCUUUCAAACUAGCAUUGCAUGAAAUCUCUUUUGCCCUUUCAUUUGCUGAAGGUAUAUCAGCCGGUUUUCAGAGAAACCCCUCCUGACAGUUGUGUGGUUUUAUUUAUUUAUUUUUUUGAUGCCCGACAAAUGCCAGCUUUGCUUUGGGUACGUAGUGUGCUCAAUGACAAUAAAUAUAGUAAUUAUGCUGGAGUUGGUAAUUAACAUAAUUAUAGUCAAUUACGACAAAUACAGUGCAGAGCUAAAUGAAUGAGGGUGAGAAAUUAGCAAGCUAAUUGAUUUACCUUACGUGCUGCUUUUUCUUGCAACUAACAGUUGCAGAUUUUCUGCAGGAAAAAGAGUGUUUACAAAUAGCUAAUUGUGUUUUGAAAUGAUUCUGUCUUAUGGCUCUCACUCCUGUUUCCUUUACACUGAGGUGAGGAGGAUUGAAAUAUGGGAUAGUGGUUAGAAGGAGAAAGGAGCUGCUCUGUUCUCACUGAAUGCUUUGAAGGGAGAUGUAUGUACUUGCUUUAAUUUCAGAUGCUUCUUACAGUAUUGAAGGGAAGAAAACCACAUGAUUGUUUACAAAAGACAACGCUAGAGAAAUUUUGGUCAUAUAUUUUAAUCCCCUUAGAUGUGGCCUGAAUUAUCUAAGAAACAUCUAUCUACCUGUUUAUUGACAUUAGAGAGAUCUGCAAAGCACUGGAGACCUAAAGGAAGAAUUUGAAUCGUUUGUGUAAUCCAAGUGUGUUGAAACAAUAUGCCCUUGUUCAGCCAUCAGUUUCAAUAAUUUAAACUAUUGGACCAGUAGAGACGCAUAAUAUCAUAACAUUUGUGCACAUUAUAAUUGCCUGUUUUGUUUCAAGAUGAUUUAUGGUAUCUUGUCUGAAAUAAGUGUAUUGGAGCUAUGCUGUUAAUGUUUUUCACUUGCCUUGUUUUUUUAUUUUCUAUCAGGCAUGACCACAGUUUUCUACGUGAAAAGAGAAUGAAUAUGUUUAAGUAUUGAAGAUUUUGUAUUGCCUUUUUAAAAGAAGAUGUUUAUUAGUAGCUGAGAUUUCUUUCUUACUCUAAGAAAACAGUGGUUUACAAAUGUUUGUAAAUUUUAUACUUGAAAUAGUUCACUUUUUCAAGGUAAAUGGAAUCAUAUAUAGAGACUUCAACAAAGAGAUAAUGUUUUCCACAGCUAAGCUCUCUGAAAUGUAUAAGUUCUCGAUAAUUUUUCUUCUACUAUUGCAGUAAUGUAUCAAGUUCAAAUGAGUAGGAUUGCAUUUUGAGGUGGGUACUUAAAGUUUUCCCUUAAAGGGAUGUCCUACAUUAAGCACAAGAUGCUGUUUUUUAAAUAAUGUUGAAAUAUUAUGAAUGUCUGAAAAUACACGUACACUAACACUGCUAAGGGUGGUCAUUCUUUAGAAGCAAUUCAGUUCCUAGAAUCAUUUUGCUAAAUGAAAUAUUUAUACACAAGGAUUCAUUGAAAUUAUUUAAAAUCUAUAGAUUAUAAUAAUCUUUCAGUUGAAGUCUUACAUGUUUAUUAAUCACUGUGGACUACCUGAUGCAUAAUUAUUUUUCUAUUAAAAUAAAUGUGAAAUAGUCUACUAGAUGGACUGAAGACAAGUGUGAUAAUAGGUUCUCUUUCUCCAUGGGUAAUACCUAGAAAGUUGUAUAAGGUAAAGUUCUGUAGAUGUAUAUCUGUUGGAAAAAUAGGAGACUAUUACCAGUAGCAAAAAGAAUUAUGAACUUCAAAUAUUAUCUCUACUUUUGAUAGUUGAUAGACAAAACUAAAUCUGCUCCUUGUUCUCUUCUUCCCCUCCUUUUUCCUCCCACCAUGCCUCUCCCAUUUUAAAAGUGGCAUUUCACCAGGAACCGGAUAUGAUCUGGUAUUUCCUCAUCACUGCUGUUGUGAAACAAGAGCGAAGGACUGCAGAAAUAACUGUUGUCUGAGGAUAAGGAGCUUGACUGAAGGGAAGAACCUGCAUUAAACCUGGAGUUAUUGUCUGUCUUUUCCUCUCUGUUUGGUUGAAAGUUCUUCUCAAAUCAUUCCUGUGCUGCCUGACUGCUACCUUGGAUGACCCAGUGAUGGACAGUUGUGCUGGCUUCCACUUUAUUCCCACAAAUUCUUCUAUUCUGUGUGGCUGCAAAAGUGUUUCCUCUGCUUCCAGAGAAGUCCAAGAAAACUGACACUGACAGAAGACAAAAAUGGUUUUUAUGAUGACAUCAUGUAUUACCCAAG